rnacentral:rRNA from 1 species
UACGGAGGAUGCAAGCGUUAUCCGGAUUUAUUGGGUUUAAAGGGUGCGUAGGCGGUCUUUCAGGCCAGAAGUGAAAGGCUACGGCUCAACCGUAGUAAGCUUUUGGAACUGUAAGACUUGAGUGCAGGAGAGGAGAGUGGAAUUCCUAGUGUAGCGGUGAAAUGCGUAGAUAUUAGGAGGAACACCAGUAGCGAAGGCGGCUCUCUGGACUGUAACUGACGCUGAGGCACGAAAGCGUGGGGAGCAAACAGGAUUAGAUACCCUGGUAGUCCCU